rnacentral:lncRNA from 1 species
ACUUUUCUGGGUUUUAGAACAGAUAAGAAACCUAAGCUCCAUAACCUUGUUUCAGAAAUUUGGAAUUAUUAAAACUGACUUACAUAUUAUCUUUGGUGAAGUUAUCUGGGAAGCUGGUAUUAUGCAGCAAGCUCGGAGAUAUGGGGUAAUGACCGAUCUUCUUAACUGUCUGAUCCUUCUGAUGCGCCAUUCCAUCAUUACUUUUCAGUACUUUAAUCUCAUGAUGCAACUCGUCUUCCCAGUGCUGCAAGGGCACAUCCAGAGAAUCCUUCGAUUUCGGAUGAUCUAUGCCAUCCUGCGGCAACACUUGAUUCCUUUCUGGUUUCAAAUGGCUCAAUGAUCCAGUGGCGCCUUUGUCCAUUGCCUGCAGCCAUGCAGUCUCCAACCGUUGCUCAUGGAUGAUGGAUUCAAUUCUCCGCAAAGGAAGAUCUGACUUGCCAUCUUCUGAGGUACUUACGUCUGCAGAGGAAGUUCUGACUUUCCAAUUAUCCAGCAGACUUACUUUAACCUCUACGUUGCUUCGUAAAACAACUUCAAAUACAUUAGUGAUACUGCUAAGAAAACCUUCUGCUCUGCUCUUGAUAUUACUAUCCUCAAACGCAAUGUGAGCAAUAAAACCACCUGCAUAAACAAGCAUGCACUUGAAAUGACCAUGCUAUUAUAUAUGGGGAUUAAGAUUAUUCUCGUUCGACAUGAUAUCCAGGAAAUUAUGUGAGAACGAGUGAGACAUUCAAAUGCCAAAGACAAAUAAAGUAAUGCAUGAUUCAACCAAAAGUUUAGUUUUCCGAGCCAGGUUAUGAUAGAGCCAAGGGUAUCACAAUUAUAGCGAACAAGACGACAGGAAUAUUGAUUGAAGAGAACAAAAAUAAUAAACAAAAGAGUUCCUCAAGUUUUCUCCUGACCAGCUAAACACCGAUUUCCCAACUAAAAUGUUCCACGCCACUCCUAUGUACUUUAUAUAUAAUCAAAUAAUACAAUAAGAUAUCCCUACAAGUAUAUAAUUAAGUAAUAAAUCAAUCAAAAAUCUUCUUUUUAUCAGUUGGUAUACAUCCAAAAGGAAAGAAUUUUAAUUAAUAUCAAUAUCAAAUUUUAUUUCCCUUCUCCUGUACACUUGUAAAGGAAAGAUUUUAUUCCUGGCAUUUUAAGUGUUAUAGUGCACCUGAAGGAGGUUCUACUUCCAUAAUCCAAUAUGAAUAGGCAGUCACACACAACCUCCAAAUACAAUGCAUCGUCUUUUAAACUGUUGGCCUAUAAAGCAUAAGAAAGAAAGAACCAGAAAUAUCCUAGUUGUUUAGGGUGGAAAUUUUACCUUUCAUUUCUGACAAACAAACAAGCUUUCCAUAAGAAUGAAGUAGUUGCCUCAAUGUCUUAGAAUGGCAUUUCUCAAUACAUUGGAGCCAGAUAUUAAUUAACAUCUUUGAAUCCAUGCAUGUCACUGUCGUUUUACCAGUUGCGCAAUCACCAUUUGAGUCGGUCAGAUUUUCACCAUCAGUGAAUUGGCGUUGAUUGGGUUUGGCAAUUAGUCUGACUGUUUUUUCGUUGCUCAUUGUAUUGCAGUGAGCAGCAACCAUAAAGGGUGAUGGAGAACCUGAUUUUUCAAGUGCAAAUUGUGCAUCUGUGUUCUGCUUGGGGACUGUAGCUUCUCUAAGCAUACUUAUGUGCUCCUGGUCAGUUACCUUUGAACUCUGUCGUCGACUACUGGUG